AAAACGGCUCUUUUAGGAGCCACCACAUGUAAUAAAGUCUCUAAU
rfam:Nematostella vectensis strain CH2 x CH6 NEMVEscaffold_8_Cont1739, whole genome shotgun sequence.